CGUCCCCAGGGAUGAAGAGCCACUAUCGGAUCGAUCCUCUGUGGCAGCCGCUUAACAAUCGAUUUUCCCUAGAGAAAGUUAAGGGCGAGCGAGGAAGAGGGACGACGAAAUGACACAAUGCGAUGUUUGUGACUUGACUAUCCGGGAGCCUCGUAUGCGGCCCUGAUACGUUGGCGUCCUUACGACGUAACAUGAUGAACAGAUGACGCUAAAUCAAUACACGUCGUCGGCCGGCGACCAACCGCUACACGUCGUUUAACGAGACCCUGAACUCUGAAGCUUCUCCCACGUGAUCGCCGACGAACAGUCUCAAUCCUACAGUCACAACCGUUAACAAUUCACAUUUCACUUUUCAAUACCUAAAAAUCUAAUCUCAAUCUCAUUAAGUCUGACACUUGUUAAACACCAUUGCGGUCACACUAAGUUAACUAUCAUGCUAUUUGCAUUGUCCAAGCGAUGGCUGUUAAGAUUGAAGAGGAUCGGUGUCCACCUCCAGAAAAAAUGUCGGAUGCGCUGUUACAAGAGGAUCGUGUCAGCAUGCCUCGCGAGCUUCCAGGAACAGGCUAACAUCCACAACCGAAAGACUCGGGAAUCCUGGAAUACGUCGAAUUCCAAUCACGUUAUGAGAGGCAGCGACGAUCGCGGGGGUGGACGGAGGCGAUCGGACGCCGCCAGUCCAAGUUCAAUUUUAAACGAGUCAAUAACAUCAAAAGCUUCGGAUACCCGGCUCGCAUCAUCGCGCGGAGCUACUCUAAGGCUAGACGGAGCCGACGCCACGCCACUAGAGCCCCAUCUAUCGCGGAUCGAAUUAUCUAAUGGAAGAACCUUGACUCUGCCUCGGAACACAAUGUGAACAAAAUGCGAUUAGGAUCAUUCUAACCUACCGGAACUUCUUUGAUUUCUUAAGAUAGUUUACCAGCAAUCUCAGUUGAAUCGAGGAAUUGGUAAAUGAUUUUAAUUGAAUUAGAGAUUCUAAUCUCUUCAAGUUUAGCUGCUUGUGAACUGACAGUUCAACUUCUCCAAUAACAAUGAUGAAACUACAGGAACUGUCCAGAAUUCAAUGCAGGAAAGUUAUUAACUUAGCACUCCACAUUUUGUGAUAUCUCAGCAACUCCACCAAUUUUGAUAGUAGUCAAAGAUUAGACCUUUAAUUUCCUUCUCAGUAGGAACUUUGUAUCUGCAAGAUCUAAUAAUCCUAAGAUAAUUUUCUUAAAAUUCAUUGAAAUAUUCAAUAUUACAACUGGUGUAAUAUUGAAGCCUACAGAGUUCAAAAGCUAAAACCGAGAAACCACUUGAAAAUCUGAAGUGAC